rnacentral:tRNA from 2 species
UGCCCGGUUGUGUAAUGGUCAGCACAGCGGCUUUUGAUGCCGCUUGAGGAGGUUCGAAUCCCCCCCGGGCAACCA